AGCAGCCGCGGUAAUUCCAGCUCCAAUAGCGUAUAUUAAAGUUGUUGUGGUUAAAAAGCUCGUAGUUGAACCUUGGGCCUGGCUGGCCGGUCCGCCUCACCGCGUGUACUGGUCCGGCCGGGCCUUUCCCUCUGUGGAACCCCAUGCCCUUCACUGGGUGUGGCGGGGAAACAGGACUUUUACUGUGAAAAAAUUAGAGUGCUCCAGGCAGGCCUAUGCUCGAAUACAUUAGCAUGGAAUAAUAGAAUAGGACGUGUGGUUCUAUUUUGUUGGUUUCUAGGACCGCCGUAAUGAUUAAUAGGGACAGUCGGGGGCAUCAGUAUUCAAUUGUCAGAGGUGAAAUUCUUGGAUUUAUUGAAGACUAACUACUGCGAAAGCAUUUGCCAAGGAUGUUUUCAUUAAUCAGGAACGAAAGUUAGGGGAUCGAAGACGAUCAGAUACCAUCGUAGUCUUAACCAUAAACUAUGCCGACUAGGGAUCGGACGAUGUUAUAUUUUGACUCGUUCGGC
rnacentral:rRNA from 1 species